AUACGUACUGCGCAAACGUUAUUCGGAAUCACUGGGCUUACAGGGUGCAUAGGCGGUUCGCCAGGUCAGAUGUGAAAUCCCACAGCUCAACUGUGGAACUGCAUUUGAAACCUGCGAACUUGAGUGAACUAGAGGCAUACGGAACUUCAGGUGGAGCGGUGAAAUGUGUUGAGAUCUGAAGGAACACCAGAGGCGAAGGCGGUAUGCUGGAGUUUGUCUGACGCUGAGGCACGAAAGCCAGGGGAGCGAACGGGAUUAGAUACCCUAGUAGUCC
rnacentral:rRNA from 1 species